rnacentral:misc_RNA from 1 species
UCUUGGCCUUGGUGGCCG